rnacentral:rRNA from 1 species
AAUGUUACGGCUGCUUGCACUUCUUUCUGGUGCCUACUCUCCGGUAAUCGGUUUCUGAACUGUAGGCGUUCCUGUCUCGGGUGGUGGCUCGCUAGGAAUCUGUCUCUGCAGUUGGCGACGUGGUGGCUCUCCGUUAGUCUGAACUUUUCCUGUAGCCAUUUUGGGAGGAGGGCCUGAUUCGACUGUCGCGCGGCUUCUCGGUAACGAGGUCGGUUGAGGCUUCUUGCGUGCGGGGAAUUUCCAAGUCUCGUGCGUCGGUGUGUUAAGGGGAGUACCAACUCUUAGUGGUGAGGUUUGACCUGUACGGGUCGGGGAGUGUUUGUCGCCGCAGUCUCUUGCGUUGGUGACAUGGUACGCCGCCGCCUCUGGUUUCUUCCUGUCUUCUUCUCCAGAGUGCGGACCCUCGCACAUGUCCAAGCUGGGAGUAAGUCCGAUUACAAGGAGGAGAGAAAACGAAGUCGACCAAGGCAAAGCUUAGUUUUCCGGACGUCCCACUGGGGCUAGCGGCCUGCAGGUGCUCCCUAGCGGCCUCAAGCACCCCGAUGCAAAAGUAGGAGCACUUGUUGACGGAGGUCAUGUCGCGAAUGAUGCCGCACAGCUGCUUGGACCACUUGAAGGAGUUCCAGGUCGACGUGAGGCCGUCGUUCCGGCGCCGCUUGUCGCAGUGGUUGACCGUCCCGUGGCGGAGGUAGUGCGGCGAGCGCCGGCCGAAGGAGCGGCUGAGAAAGGAGCCGUCCAUGACCUGGUAGUGGGAGAAGGAGAAGUAGAGGCAGCGCCCCAUGCCGCAGCACCGCCGCUCGCGCCACAAGAUGCGCCCCGACAUGGACCACCGCGACCCGCCGCGCGACGUCGGCCAGGACAGCAGCAAGCCCCGGCUGGUCAAGCUGCGGCUCAGGCUGCUCCUCCUCGCGGCCGCCGUCUCGAGGAAGAAGUUGACCAAGAUGGACAGGUA